GAUUAUGGCUCAGAACGAACGCUGGUGGCGUGUCUUAUACAUGCAAGUCGAGCGAGGCAGCAAUGCCGAGCGGCGAACGGGUGAGUAACGCGUAAGCAAUCUGCCCCAUAUCAGGAAAUACCCGUGCCAACGCGCGGUUAAUGUCCAGGAGAGUGGCCAGCUGCAUGGCUGGUUGACUAGAGAUUUAUCGGUAUGGGAUGAGCUUGCGUCCGAUUAGCUAGUUGGCGGGGCAACGGCCCACCAAGGCGACGAUCGGUAGCCGGCCUGAGAGGGUGAUCGGCCACAUUGGGACUGAGAUACGGCCCAGACUCCUACGGGAGGCAGCAGUAGGGAAUAUUGCACAAUGGGGGAAACCCUGAUGCAGCAACGCCACGUGUGGGAAGAAGCAUUUCGGUGUGUAAACCACUGUCAUGAGGGAAUAAGGCCCGCCUUCGGACGGGAUUGAAUGUACCUUGAGAGGAAGCACCGGCAAACUUCGUGCCAGCCGCCGC
rnacentral:rRNA from 1 species